rnacentral:rRNA from 1 species
CUAAUACCGGAUAAGAAAGCGGAUCGCAUGAUCAGCUUUUAAAAGGCGGCGUAAGCUGUCGCUAUGGGAUGGCCCCGCGGUGCAUUAGCUAGUUGGUAAGGUAAAGGCUUACCAAGGCGAUGAUGCAUAGCCGAGUUGAGAGACUGAUCGGCCACAUUGGGACUGAGACACGGCCCAAACUCCUACGGGAGGCAGCAGCU